rnacentral:other from 1 species
GAAGUCCUGCGAUGUUCGUGUUCCCUGACGUUUUGUAACCAACACCUUUACUUAGGGAGCUCGGGGUCAUCUGUGCUCGUGGCAGCCGUUCGUAUGAGCGGAACCGCAAAUACAGGUGCAGAGCACCCACCUGCGAGAGAGCAGGUUCAAAACUAAGGAGCACGGCAUAACGGGGCUCUU